GCUAUGGAGUAUGAUAUCAAACGUUAGUAGUCCGAGUGUAAACGAGGAUGAGAACGCAUACGAUGAAAUAGCAA
rnacentral:ncRNA from 1 species